AUGUGUUGUAAUAAGCAGAUGGUCCCCACACGCCAGGCUGUGGGUGAGAUGGAAACUCUAGCAGGAGACAUCACAGCCGAAGACCUUGCCCGUCUGGACCCAUCAUCUGUCUUGUGCAUCAGAACCAUGGGAAAGAAGUGGAGAGGAGACCUGGGGCUCUGUGCUCGCCCUGGAGGCCCACGUUCACACCUGCUCCCUCCAGGCACCAAGGGCAUAGCUACCGACACGUGCAGGCCUCCCCAAGGUUUCCGUGGAUGGCAGAAGUACACCCUAAGCAAUCCUCUAACUGGUUCAACAACUGAGAUGUGCACCUGUGGAGGAGCCCAGAGCAAUGAAGACAGCCACAGGGAGAUCCCGCGACUCCCGCCGAGCCUGUCCUGGCUGUCGGACUGCGGCCUGAUGGGCUCCGAGUGGCUGACAAUGUGGCCACCACCAUGGCGGACGAGGGUGGGAGGCGCUUUCUGAGAGCAUCUGGCCUGCCACGCAGACACUUGUCACUCCGUGUCAUCUGGACACCCCGCGGUUCUAACCGAGGGUGGUGCUUUGACGGUGAUUAUCUCCAAAACAUAAAUAAUAAGAAUGAUUUUUAAAUCAACAAAGGGCUGGAUUUAAAGGCCACUUAGUUGUCCCAGGACUAAGAGUGAUGGUGAGUGGCCAGUUCCUGGGACGAUCUUCUGUAGCCCGAUUAACUGUGCUGGGAGCCCAAGAGAUAAUGUCUUUUCACAUAGAAAAGAUCCUAUUGAUUUCCUGUUCGUAUUAUCCCGAAAUGUGCAGUGUGUGUCUAUGUGGAGACCGUCUUCCAUCACUUGCUUUAUGGGAAGAGAAUGGUUAUUGUACCUCUCUCCAUAAAAUAUAAUCUCUUUUUCUCUUCCAAAAUCUACUCGCUCCUCUGGGAAUUUCCAGUCAUAAUCUGUGAAAGUGAAUUGAUUUUUUUAUUUUAUUUUUUUUUGCAUGUGCCAGUAUUUUUAUAUUUGGCUUCUCUAUAUUUUCUCAUUGUUCUCUGGAGUCUGGCUUUUUCUAGAUUGUUAUUUGAGCUCAUCUAAAAAUAAAAAAAAAACAUCCGUCGACUUGAAGCA
rnacentral:lncRNA from 1 species